UAUCGACGUAGUUUGAUCAUGGCUCAAGAACAAACGCUGGCGGCAUGCCUAACACAUGCAAGUCGAGCCGAACCCGUUCGGGGUUAGCGGCGGACGGGUUAGUAACGCGUGGGAAUAUACCCUUUGGUACGGAAUAGCCUCGGGAAACUGAGAGUAAUACCGUAUGUGCCCUUCGGGGGAAAGAUUUAUCGCCAAAGGAUUAGCCCGCGUUGGAUUAGGUAGUUGGUGGGGUAAUGGCCUACCAAGCCUACGAUCCAUAGCUGGUUUGAGAGGAUGAUCAGCAACACUGGGACUGAGACACGGCCCAGACUCCUACGGGAGGCAGCAGUGGGGAAUCUUAGACAAUGGGCGCAAGCCUGAUCUAGCCAUGCCGCGUGGACGAUGAAGGCCUUAGGGUUGUAAAGUCCUUUCAGAUGGGAAGAUAAUGACGGUACCAUCAGAAGAAGCCCCGGCUAACUCCGUG
rnacentral:rRNA from 1 species